UGGCGCCGAAAGCGAAGAAGGAAG
rnacentral:piRNA from 1 species